GCGGCGUGCCUAAUACAUGCAAGUCGAGCGAGAUGUUAGCGCAUGAACCUUCGGGGGAUUAUGCUAACGGACAGCGGCGGACGGGUGAGUAACGCGUAGGCAACCUGCCCCUGACAGAGGGAUAGCCAUUGGAAACGAUGAUUAAAACCUCAUGACACCGUAGAAGCACAUGCUUCAUCGGUCAAAGAUUUAUCGGUCAGGGAUGGGCCUGCGUCUGAUUAACUAGUUGGUGAGGUAACGGCUCACCAAGGUGACGAUCAGUAGCCGACCUGAGAGGGUGAUCGGCCACAUUGGAACUGAGACACGGUCCAAACUUCUACGGAAGGCAGCAGUAGGGAAUCUUGCACAAUGGGCGAAAGCCUGAUGCAGCAACGCCGCGUGAAGGAUGAAGGCCUUCGGGUUGUAAACUUCUGUUCUAAGGGAAGAAACAAAUGA
rnacentral:rRNA from 1 species